rnacentral:tRNA from 1 species
CACAAUCCACUGCCUUGAUCCACUUGGCUACAUCCGC